rnacentral:rRNA from 1 species
AACGAACGCUGGCGGCAGGCCUAACACAUGCAAGUCGAGCGAGGACUUCGGUUCUAGCGGCGGACGGGUGAGUAACGCGUGGGAAUGUGCCCUUCUCUACGGAAUAGCCCUGGGAAACUGGGAGUAAUACCGUAUACGCCCUUUUGGGGAAAGAUUUAUCGGAGAAGGAUCAGCCCGCGUUGGAUUAGGUAGUUGGUGGGGUAAUGGCCUACCAAGCCGACGAUCCAUAGCUGGUUUGAGAGGAUGAUCAGCCACACUGGGACUGAGACACGGCCCAGACUCCUACGGGAGGCCGCAGUGGGGAAUCUUAGACAAUGGGGGCAACCCUGAUCUAGCCAUGCCGCGUGAGUGAUGAAGGCCUUAGGGUUGUAAAGCUCUUUCAGCUGGGAAGAUAAUGACGGUACCAGCAGAAGAAGCCCCGGCUAACUCCGUG